AUUGAACGCUGGCAGAAUGCUUUACACACGCAAGUCGAACGGCAGCACGGACUUCGGUCUGGUGGCGAGUGGCGAACGGGUGAGUAAUACAUCGGGACGUGCCCAGUCGUGGGGGAUAACGUAGCGAAAGCUACGCUAAUACCGCAUACGAUCUAAGGAUGAAAGCGGGGGAUCGCAAGACCUCGCGCGAUUGGAGCGGCCGAUGGCAGAUUAGGUAGUUGGUGGGGUAAAGGCUCACCAAGCCGACGAUCUGUAGCUGGUCUGAGAGGACGACCAGCCACACUGGGACUGAGACACGGCCCAGACUCCAACGGGAGGCAGCAGUGGGGAAUUUUGGACAAUGGGCGCAAGCCUGAUCCAGCCAUUCCGCGUGCAGGAUGAAGGCCCUCGGGUUGUAAACUGCUUUUGUACGGAACGAAAAGGCUCUGGUUAAUACCUGGGGCCCAUGACGGUACCGUAAGAAUAAGCACCGGCUAACUACGUGCCAGCCGCCGCCGUAA
rnacentral:rRNA from 1 species